AGCUACAUUAAUCAGAGGGCAGUAUUCAGAUCAAGGAAAGUAAAAGACCUGCCGUUUAUUGCACCAGAAUGAAUUCACCUGAAAUAUUAUGUCCAGGUUGACAUACUUUUGCAGUCAUCCUUUUAUUGUUUCAUUAUAGGUUUGAGCUUCUUUCUUAGAUAUGGAUAAAGUGAAUUAGCAGGAAGACAGAUUUGUUACAUCAUCCAGUGCUGCUUAUCAUUUUGUAGCUGAUGACUGGAUAAAUUUCAAUUUUGGGGGAACAUCCUUACCUUUUCAAGAGAGAUGCUUACUCUGGACUGGACCUCAAAAGCCAGUUAUGUCACUUCAUUUUUGAGUUAGACUAAUUUUCCUUUUGACCAUUUAAUUUCCAUCUUAUGUUAUCUUUCCUUCAUCUCUCUCUUCUCCCCACUCCCUCACAACAUUGCAUCUCUCUCCUUCCAUGCUUCCUCCUGUUCUGUGUUCCCAUCAUGCUUGCUGCUGUAGCUCAUUUGCUGCCUUUCAUGAUCCACUUCCUCUCUCUCCCUUCAACUUAGAGGGUUUCCUUCUUACUGUAGCUAGUUAGAUAAUUUCACCUGGAGUUUUCAUAGCUUAAUAAUGGCUUGUAUAAUAGUAUAACUUUCAGAUUAUGCAUUUGUUUAAAAUAUAGUGACAUUCAGUGCUCUAGCCAAAAGGAGAUGAAUGGCAAGAAUUUUGGAACUAGCAGGCUGGUGCAGGGAACUGUCUUUCCCUGAGGGACCUCAUUAUCAUGGCAGGUGGUGCUUGCUAAUGGUGGUAGGUAAGGCUGACUGGAAUUUCAGCACCUGUGAGGUUCCAUUUUUGGGUAGAGGUGAGGGCUUGACGAAGGAGAUUAGGAUUUCAUCGAGGGCAAUGGGGACUGGGACAGAAAAUUUGGGUUAUUGAAGUUAUUUGACUUUGCUUUUAUCCUAAGACCAGAAAGGUCUGCUGACAUUUGGAUUUGAUCUCACUUAGCUGGGGGUCUUCUGGAAGCAAUAAUGGGCGCUUAUUACCUAGUCCAUCAUUGGAAACUAUUUCAGGCCAUGCUAGACCAAAGGAGAAAAAAUAUUAGGUAAGCAGAGCUUUUAGAGAGUAAUUAAGCUAGGCAAUUUAAGCCGCAACUUAAAUAAGUUGGAGAGUACUUAUUAUUCUAUGCAUUUUUCACACCUUAACUACACAUAGGGAUCUUAGUUUACAUCUAUAUGAGUCUCAUUCUCAUCUAUAGUGAGGGGAACUGAGAUACCUAUUUUGCAAUCAUUUUUUUACUGCAGAGUUUAGACCUUGCUCUUAGAAUGCUUCCAUGAUUUUUUUUUUUUUGGUUAGAAAUUAUGUCAGUUAUGUCAUGGGGAGUGAUUAAUGUAAGAGAUGACUCAAAUGGAAGAAAUUUUAAUAGUGAUACUAACCCACUUGUAAUUACUUUAGUCACUGCAGAGAAAAAUGCAGCAUGACAAUGGCUUAAAGUAUGAAGCAGUAUAUUUUCACAGUUGCACAUCUUCCUUGUGCUUUAGGGAAGGGAAGCCACAGAAAGAAUGAUGAGAGGAAAAAAGAAGAGUAAUUUCUUGCUCUUAAGUUUCAAAAUAUAAUUUGGGAACCUAGGGCAGAGCAAGAGUGAGAGAAAAGGCAUGACAUACCAGGCAUUUGUCCUAACCUUGAGAGAGGUAUAGGAGAGCUGUGGGAAAAGCAGUGGCCUCUUGGAGCCUACAGUCUGGAAAAAGGAACUAUGGCUGGUAUUCCACAUGGGUAGCAUGACCAGAGCCCCAGUAGAAAUGCCAUGUCAGCCUUGGUGUUUGCAGUAUGGAAGGGUAAUGACAUCUUGAGGCUAAGGGGAUGAGUUACAUCUUAGGGAUAGCAUGUGUGGAUGGAUGACACUCAGGGAACAGAUACCUCAAAAGCCUUGACACUGUGUAGUUUCCCCCACCUCUCUACCCUGCAUCAGGUACAACCCUUAGAGAAGAAGAAGAUUCUAAAUCGACUGACUUUACUCCAAAUUGACAUUUUUAUCCCCAAUGGAAUAAGGAUUCAAGAUAGAUAUUAUGUGUUCUGUUCUAGAAAAACAAAUAUAUUUUUGCAUACCUGAAUUUGUUCUCUCUUUGUUAAUGCUUUAGAAAAAGCACUGAAGGUGAAUAAUUGAACGGGCCUUUUUCAAGUUGAAAAAAACACUGAAGUGCAAGUCUGAGGAUUUAGAUUUAACCUGUCUUUGUUAAUGUUUGACCUUGGGCACAUAAUUUUGUCCUUGUGGGCUUACCUGUCUCCAUCUGGGGUGCUGGCCUGGAAUGGACCUUCUUAACCUAGUGGCUGAGGCCCUUUGGAGAAGCUGAGGAGUUUUUCUAAGGCACCUUGAAUCUUAAGUAUGAACCAAUCAUUAUCUGUAGAUAUAAGUAAUAUGUCUUUGUAUAUAAGUACUAGUAAUUUUUCAAAUGUUUGUAGAUCUAAUUAUGUUUCAUGAAAUUACAUAAUUCAUUUUAAAGCAGAUAUAUAUGUAUAUUUGUCUUUGUAGGGCAGCACCUGCUGCCUAUGACUAGGGGCCAAAUCCAAUUUGUAGCUGCCAGCCUAUACCACAGCAACAGCAACACCAGAUCCGAGCCUCAUCUGCGAACUACACCACAGCUCAUGGCAACUUUGGAUCCUUAACCCACUGAGCGAGGCUAGUCAGAUUCAUUUCCUCUGAGCCAUGACGGGAACUCCAUACUAAAUUAAUAUUUUUGUAAUUGAACAUCUCAAACAAUAUAAAAUUUGUAGGCUUUAUUUAGAAUUAUAUAGAAGUCCCUUUAGCCUAGACUUUAGCCUAAAGUGCUGUUUGUUGGCUACAAAUCUAUAUGGGGCUUAUGCUAAUUGGGGAUCAGUAUUACAUGGUUAUUCUAGAAAUGGUUGAUCCUCACACUCUGACAAUGGUGCUAAUUGAUUAAUUUUAGAGAUGUAAAAAAUUAAUAAUAGAGGAGAUGUUUUAAUUACUGCAUUCAAAUGAUUUGUCUUUUCUGAUAUUGAAAAGCCCCUCUAUCUGUAGGAGAGUCUUAACAUUAAAAGCCUAGGUCUAAAUCUUGCUCUGUCUACAACCUAGCUGAAUUACCUGACUUUUCUGAGCUGGUUUACUCCUCUUUAAGAUGAUAAAAUCUUAACUUUACAGCAGUGUUGUGAAAAUAGAAUAAGAUAAACCGUGAGCCCAUUAUGUUAUCUAGCAGAAGGAAAAGAUUCAAAAAUUAUUAGUUUCUCUUAUGCUCCUCUGGAAAACUUAUAUAGAGGGGUAAGCAGUAAAAGUUGGCUUGCAUAUGAAAAUGGGUAAUUUAAACAAUAAAUUAACAAUUACUGUCACAACAUGUUCACUUGUUACCUUGUCCAGGACUGGGUUGGAAUCGCCACAUUCACUGCAGCCAGUGAGCAAUGCAUUUUGAUUGCCUAGAAGGCAGUUUAGGCAGUGGACCCUGUCUCUCUCUGAAGCUUGGAAGAGCUUUCACCUGUUUCAUCCCAAGUCUUCCUUUCUUUCUGAACAAGCACUGAGUGUAUUGUUCAGUAGCUUCAUUCAGCUGCUGCCAAGCAUGAGAAUCCUGGAGGUGCUCUCCAUUGUCAGAUCUUGAAGUGGAGCUUGAAUGGAGAGAAUGCGCUCUCAAAAUAAUUUAUUUUGAAUGCAUGCUCCCUUCGAUGGGGAAAGGAGGCACAGAUGGCUGAGUUGGGAAGUAUGCCAGUUCCUUCUUCACGCCAGACCUCCAGUGAAUCCAGGCUAUAGGAGAGGAGCUUUAGGAGAAGAGCAAAGGCUGAAAGAACUCAGCACUUGUGUGAUGCAGUCCCUGGGCCACCAUUAAAAGCCACAAUUUUGGGUAAUCAAAAGGUUUCCCCUCAGAGAUAAUGCUGGCUUCUUGAGUAUUUGUUGCAUUGCAGACGCUGAAUAAUAGAAAGUAGUCUCUGUUAUUUCCUUCAGGAACUGUUCCAUUAGAGAGAGUGGCUUGGAUGAGAUGAACCAGUGUCUGGGAGACUGGAUCACUACCCCCAGCAGCAGGCUUGUCAGGAUGUUGGUUUCUUGACUUCACCUGCUUUCCUCCAGCUUGCCCAAACCAAGCUGUUGAGGUUGCUGGAUGGAUGCUGUUCUCUGAAACUGUCUUGAAAGUUGUUUCAGAUUUCCUGGUCUUCUCAUUUGGGGAUCCCCAAACCGCAGCUUCCUUGUUUGCAACUGCUUCAUUUACUCAUUCCUAAACGUUGCUGAACUCCCACCAACUUAGCUAAAUUUAUUCAGGUUUCAAGGAGCAGAAACCUCAGGUUAUCUAUGUGAUGGUAAUGGGGGGUUGUGGUGGGGAUACAUGAGCAAGAAAGAAGAUAGAAAGUCUGCUUAUGAGCCAAGCAGUUUGCCUCAAGGAGCAGAGCAGAUGUUUCUGAUUCAAGAGUAGCUCUAGGUGUCUGUCUUAGUUUGCUAGGGUGGCGUUAAUAAAGUGCCUCAACUGGGUGGCUUAAACAAUAGAAAUUUAUUAUCUCACAGUUCUGCAGACCAGGAGUCUAGAUCAAGUUUUGGUGGGGUUGCUUCCUGUGGGGACCAUGAAAGAGGCUCUGUUCCAUGUCUCUCCCCUAGCUUCUGAUGCCUUGCUGACAAGUGUUGUCAUCCCGUUCCUUAGCAUGUAGACACAUCACCCAAGUCUUUUCCUUUACCUUCACAUGGCCUUCUCGCUGUGUGUCUGUCUCUCCAAAUUUCCCCUUUUCAUGAGGAGACAAGUCAUAUUGGAUUAACACCCCACACUAAUAACCUAAUUUUAACUUGAUUGCCUCUGUAAGGACCCUAUAUCCAAAUAAGGUCACUGAGAGUAAGGAUUUUAACGUACGAAUUUUUAGAUAACAAAAUAUAACCUAUCAUGGUGUUUAACAGUCACUCUUAAUCAAUUGUCUUGAUCCCUCAGACUCAGACUCUUCUUACCUGUUGGAGUCUUUUGGGACUUUUCAAACUCCCUGAAAUUGUAUUUGUUUAAUUGUUCACUGUCUGGUGUACAGCAUACAUACCUUCAGGCCAGGUUCACCUGUCAGGCUACUCCUUGGACUUCUCCUGGCCUCAGGGCUGACCUCCGGGCCAGUCAGCCUUGGCCAUGAUAUGGUCUCAUGGAGGACAGAUGACAGCCUAUGUGGAAAUCUUCCAGGGCUCCUUUUCUCUGAAGGAGGCUGUGGACAGGAGGACAUGCCUAGCUUUCAGAGUGGACCUGUGACCUGCACUGUGCCAGGCCCCGAGGGUUCAGAGAAAAAGCUAUCAUUCCUCUUUGGUAUAUUCUUUGCAUAGGUAUGGUAGGCUCUUGGCCUGUAUAAGGGAGGGAAUCUCUGACCUGGACAGAUUUGAUUUCAUAAUUAUCCUAACUUUGAGAAGUUCCUCAUAUAGCCAUUGCUAUGUUCAGAGGCUAUUGGUUUACUAAAAAAAGAAAAAAAAAAUUAAGAAACACCUAAAGAAGGAAGGUUACAGAUAUUGCUACAGAGAGGUUUAUAAAUAAUUGCUUUUAAGCCUUUUGAUUCUUUAUAAGGUAAUUAUAGUAUUUAUAAAAGAUAUUACUGAUUAAGCAGUCUAAUAAUGAAACAAACUUAGGAAGUUCCAUGAUGGCAUAAUGAGUUAAGGAUCUGGCAUUAUCACUGCUUUGGCAUGGGUUCAGUGCCUGGCCCUGGAACUUCCACAUGCCUAAGGUACAGCCAAAAAAAUAAUAAAAAUUAGGAGUUCCCAAUGUUGCUCAGCAUGUUAAGAACCUGACUAGUAUCUGUGAGGAUGCUACUUUGAUCCCUGGUCUCCCUCAGUGGGUUAAGUAUCUGGCAUUGCU
rnacentral:lncRNA from 1 species